UCUCCUGGAAACGGGUGGUAAUGCCGGAUGUUCCACAUGAUCGCAUGUGAUUGUGGGAAAGAUUCUAUCGGCGUGGGAUGGGGUCGCGUCCUAUCAGCUUGUUGGUGAGGUAACGGCUCACCAAGGCUUCGACGGGUAGCCGGCCUGAGAGGGCGACCGGCCACAUUGGGACUGAGAUACGGCCCAGACUCCUACGGGAGGCAGCAGUGGGGAAUAUUGCACAAUGGGCGCAAGCCUGAUGCAGCGACGCCGCGUGAGGGAUGGAGGCCUUCGGGUUGUAAACCUCUUUUGUUUGGGAGCAAGCCUUCGGGUGAGUGUACCUUUCGAAUAAGCGCCGGCUAACUACGUGCCAGCAGCCGCGGUAAUACGUAGGGCGCAAGCGUUAUCCGGAUUUAUUGGGCGUAAAGGGCUCGUAGGCGGCUCGUCGCGUCCGGUGUGAAAGUCCAUCGCUUAACGGUGGAUCUGCGCCGGGUACGGGCGGGCUGGAGUGCGGUAGGGGAGACUGGAAUUCCCGGUGUAACGGUGGAAUGUGUAGAUAUCGGGAAGAACACA
rnacentral:rRNA from 1 species